rnacentral:lncRNA from 1 species
GUUGGAUGAAUUUUAUAAAAAAAAAAAUCUUGAAUAUUUGAUAAAUCUAUUCCUGAUAAAAUUGGAAAACAUAAGAUUUGAAAAUGAAUUAUUAUACAUAUAAUAAAAUCAAUUUAAAUGGCUGAAGAAAAUAAAAUGGGUGAAUUUUUUUUCUUAUUUUGAUAUAUUUUUAAUCAAGUAUUUACUAUUUUUUGGUGCAAAGUCCCCAGAUAUAUUUUAACCCUGUUCUACUUAACUAAAAUAAGGUCUUUUCAAAUAAUAAUAAAGAUUCAAAGAAGAAAUUGAAGUAACAAAAGCAAAAAAUCAAAAAAGUCUGAAAAGUAAUAAUGAAUGAAGUAGCGUUACUGUAUUCAGAGGAGAGAUAACAUUAACUGUGUUAAAAAUAUCUGUUUCUGACAGAACUGACAUAAAAAAUGGUAAUUCUUAAUUUUGAGUAAUUUUUAAUUCUGAUUGAUUUCAUCAAGUAUUUUUCACUGAACUAGUACAUAAUUUUAUUUAGGGGCCAUUUGAGGAAGACCUCCGGGUACGGGAUUUUCUCGCUGCGUUCACCGUUGAAGACCUAUUGGUGGCCUUCGGUUGUUGUCUGUACUUUAAUCAGGUUGUUGUCUCUUUGACAUAUUCCCCAUUUCCAUUCUAAAUUUUUAUAAUUUGUAUGUCAGUUAUAUUGCAGAUUGAGGGUUUAUUCAACAGACAGUAUGAAUCUUGUCUAUAUCUAUAUGACUCAUUACAUGUUUAUCAAUAUUUUUACUGCUGCAUUUGUUUUUCAUAAAAGGAAUGGAUUCAUAAAGGGUUUUUAAUUGCCAAAAUUUAUGAGUUUGAAUAUAACAAGAAUAUUGUUGCAGAAUGAAAAUAUUGAGUAGAAUCAAAGUUGAAUUAAAUAAAUGUAGCUUGGUGUCAUUGUCACAUCAUAAUUAUGAACUCUGUCUCAGGAAAAUGUAUUUUAUAAACUAUGUGCACAUGCAAGGCUAUGUUUGAAUAGUUUUUUUUUGUAGAAACCUUAGACACAUGCUCAAAGCAAAAUGAUCGUUUUGUGAUAUUGUUUAUCUUUCUUUUAUUUUCUUUUGAUCACACAUGUUUGUUUUCGUCAGAAAGAGAUAAAGGAUAUAUUGCACUUAAAUUCCUAAAAAGGGAACAUUUUCAUAAUAUCUUGAAAACAGUCAAGUUUUGGAGAUUAGCUAUAUUAAAUAUAUUGAGCUUAAAGAUUCAGAAAAAAAUGUUUUAUAUUGUUUUAUAUUAACAUUAUUUGGUGCAAUGAAGUAUACUUUGAUUUUCAGAACCAAAACAGGGUAUUCCUGGAGACCUAUUCCUUAACCAUUAUUUAAUGUUCAAAAUGUGAUAUCUAAUGUAAUGUUUUAAUUAUCACCCUAUUGUGUUCAAUAAUAUUGUUUGUUCAUAAUUGUUACAAUGUUGAACAUAUAAAUAAAAAAU